GAAAAAAAAAACAAAAUAAAGACACAAAAACAUCGUCUGCAGAGAGAGCCAUGAAACAAAACGACUUUUGUUGUUUUUGCAGCAGAGGGUGAUGGACAGAGGACUAACUACGGGGAUGAAUCCAGCAGAUAACUCAGCUGUCACUAAAGAGGACGCUGGAUCCACACAGAGUACGUCAGCGGGGAAAAGUAAUCAAAGACCUCCAGCUCACCUCGGCGCCGCUCUCCCUCACACACACACACAUCCAGACGCCGUUUUGUUCCUCGUUCACGUCGGUUCCUCCUCCUCCUCCUCCUUCCCGGCCGGCUUUGACUGACAGGUGAGAUUAAGCACCCUUUGAACUCUAUCUGGUUAUUGGAGGAGCCGUCCAAAUUGAAGCACUGUUAUUUCACGCCGUCUUGCUGAGUCAGUGGGAAAGUGCGGGCGGGGUGGGGGCGGCACUUUGCUGAAUGAAUAAAGAGCUUUUCAGAGGGGAAGGUGUGGAGCCCCAUCCCUGAUACAUCAUAGGACAAUAAUGAGGAUUGUAAAAAGAAGAGGGGGAAAUUAGAUUAGAAAUGUUUUGAAGAGCAGCUGGGAGGGGGAAAAAAACUCGACCUGAAAAAUGAGGAAAACAUUUCUGCUUGGAAGCGGACCUGCAGGAAAAAGACAAACAGAGAUAAAAAGGUUUUCUCGGUCCACUUUGAAAUAAAAUAAGAGCCCGGAAGAAAAGAUGAUGAUUGGAGAGAGACGUGCAGCUACAUCAGACCUAUUAAACCUCAAUCUGAAUCUGAAUAAUGCCUGAAGAUGAAGCACAUUGAUGGAGCUUAAUAUCCAAUGACCCGGAGUGACCUUUGGUGAAUGCAGUGAUUACAGCCUGCUUUUACUUGACAUGCUGUUAUUAGAGAGGACUCUGACUCUGCAGAAAAGGAGGUUUUUUUAGAGGAAUAAAUGAUCCUGACAGAACUAAACAGUGUUUUCUCCGCGUGCUUUAUCUCUCUGCAUGCAGAUUCAGCUGUCAAAGAAAUCACGUUACGCUUUCUGCAUCAGCUCUUUGUGGAGAUAAUUCAAAAUUCGGUUUCUCGUCUUUAAUCAAAAAGAGGUACAGUAAGGGGUAGUGGGGCCGGUAGGAGCUUUUUCUCCAUUUCUGAAUGUCUGUGUGACUAAAUGGAUUUUCAAUAUUCUGCGGAGCAAAGCAGAGAUUGAUUUAAGGGCCGAAAACAAAACAGAAUGAAACCAAGAAUGAGAAAUUGAAGGAAAAUUUUGAAAUAUUGCUUCACACUUUUUUUCUGAUUUGGAUGAAGCUGCUUUACAUUCUGCUCGUUUUUCAGCUACAACAGAUUUAUGGAUGCGUAUUUGCCUGAAUGUGUUUAUAUGUUAAUCUUCACUCAUGUCACAUGCAUAGAAAACAUUAUUAAAGUACAAAAACAUGUUUAUGGUACAAAAAUAAACCUCAACGUCUGCACGGUUAAAACUGAAGGCUCCACUUUUCUCUGUCUUUGCAAAAGUUUCUUUAAUUUUAACUUUUGAUUCUUUGUAAAACAGAUUUAUCAUUAAAAACUAACAGUGUUACCCAAAUACUGUGUCAUGAAGCAAAUCUAAAUCUUAUAAAAACACGGCUUUAAGUUACGAUGAUAACAUAGUGAGAAAGUUCCGAUCCAGUCCACUUUAUUUAUAUAGCACAAUUAAAAAAACAAUAAAGUUUAGCCAAGUGCUGCAGUAAAAUAAGUUAAAACACACAGAAGAUGAAAUGUUAAAAUAAAAGAAUCAUAAUAAAAAAAACACUUCUAAUUGAGAGGGUUUGUAAUUAUAAACAUAUGUUAUUUUAGAGGCAGAUGGUCCAAGAGGCUUAAACAUAUCAGAAAAGCAUAAAGUGAGAACGUGAAUCCUGCACCAGCUGAGAGAAAUGCCUGAUCAUGGCCAGUAGGUGGCAGCAAUCACCACAAAGACAUGCAAACAAUGAAAGAAGUUUUCUAAAACUCUGUAAACUUAUUCAGAUCACUUUUAAGCAUUAACUUAUUUAUUCGUCUUUACUUUAAAGGCAGCUCAGCCUACAUGAAGCUUGUUAUCAUCACUAUUAAAGCUCCUGUAGGGAGUUUUCUUAACAUAUUUGAAACCAACUGAAGUUAAUAUUCGUACCUUUUUAUGAUAGCUCACAGCGAAUAACACUAGCUGAUAGGGCUGGGCGAUAAACUGAAAAUUUACCAAUACCAAAAUUUAUGAGAAUAACUUGCGUCAUUUUGCCCGUGUCAGAAUAUUCAGUGUCAAAUAAAUCAAAGUUGUUUUUGGAUGUGUGUAGGUAGGCUGUGGUCUCAUGUCCCUUUAAGACGCUGUCCUACGUCAGAGACGUGACUCAACCCCAUCCAGUCUGUAACAAAGAGGGAAAGACAGGUGAGGAGAUGGAGGACGGUUCAAAAGUCAGAACAGGCCUGUUUUUACAGUUUACUCAUUUGACUGCGAGGUCAGGACGGCUCUACUUUAGUUGUUUUGUUUGUUUGUUUUGUCGGACCUGUCCUCUAGUCUUGAUUGAUACCACAGCAAACACACACUCACCCACACAGUGUUGUUGUGUAUCAACACCUGGGAUUUGCCUGCAGCAGCCUCAGUAUUCAGCUGCCAGCCUGCAGAGUAAUUCCUCUGGACAGAAUUGGGUCUUGAGUGUUGUUCAAAGACAAAUCGCUGGUCAUUUAUUUGAGGGAUUAAAGAAUGAGUCUGAUUCCCGGUUCAAACCUUUUCCUCCGAGCCGGUUGCUGGAAGCUAAAGCAUUGAUCAUCGACACCUGCUGUAACACUCUUCCUCUGCAGUCCUUCACAGCAGACUGACUUCGAUCUGCAGAUUUUAUCCUCUGCUCCUCUCUGCCCAUUUCCAAAUGUCACUUCCAGCCGCAGCAGCAGAAAGACUGCAGGCGCGUGUGGCUGAAAAAUGACAUUAAAACCUGCUCUGACGUUUCUGAUUUCAGAGCCACAGAGAGAAAAAAACUUCUCCUUUUGAUUGGCUUUCAUUUACAAAGAACAGUACCUAUCAUCACAUCAGUUUUGACGGUAUGACCUCUAAGGGUUUCGUGCAAAUCCCGGACUCUCAGGUGGUGGACGCUGCCAUCUUUGUCGAAGCGACGCUUGAUUAUAAAGCUUUUAACAAGCUAACAGUAACAUUAGCCUUCGUUAGACUCGACCACAGUGUAUACAGUCUUAGUUAGCUAACUCUCACAUUAAUUCAACACCCAUAUUUUUAAUUUUCCUUAUAUUUUUGGUUAUAUGGUUGGGGUGGGAGAAAAAAUCGAUUUAACAUAAGUAUCAGAAUUUAUUUGUUUUGCAAUUUUUAAAUCGAUUUUUUUGUUCAAAAAUCGAUUUGUUUUUCAAACUUGAGAAUAAAUCUUAAAAACUAAGUUGCAUGUGAUGAGUAGUUUUUGGGGAAAUGUGGUUCCUGGAAUAGUCAGUAGACAAUCAAGGUGACCUUUGCUCUUUAACAGCUGCAGGAUUUUCAGAAUCGGUCUUGCGGUCAAGAGAAAGUCGGAUAUUCAGUGUGGAUGACGUGCAGCUGAAGUUUCUGCCAGACUCACAGAAGACAUAUUGAGGUUUACGCUGAGGAUGGAAAUGGUUUUUACUUUAAAUGAGUUUCCAGGAUGCGAAAGGACAUUACUUCCAAAGUCUUAUUUUCAUUUUCUAUUAUCACCUCUUCCCCAGAGGAUUGUGUUUGCUGUAAAGAGGUCUGCGGUAUGAAUCAAGGCGGAUGUGUGAGUACAUAGCAUCAAAGUGAAAAUUGCUUUAAACUAAUUUACUCCUGAAUUUCCCUCAAAAUAAUGUGUUUAUCUUUGUGUGGAGGUUCAUCACGAGAGGAAAUGAUGACUGCCAAAUAUCAGUGCAUGCACAAACAGAGAUUUACCGUUCAUGAGCAUCGAAAACGUGACGAAAAUGAAUCUACGGAGCAGUUUUGAAUCCCAGCGUCAAGUUUUGGAGGGUGAUGAUCAGGUUGUUAGUCGAAGUUAAAGGAUGUCACGAGUCCGAAAGAUUUGAUCUGUAUUUCAUCCGUGCUAGCAGCAUCGCUCCAGGCAACGCCACUGCCUCCACUUUGGUCCAGAGUAAAAUAACUCAACCCCGAUUUGAUGUCUCACCACCGACCGAAUCACAGACGCUCAUGUUUCCCUCAGGAUGACGUUUAACUUUUGUGACUUUCUCUGGUGUCACUGUCAGAUCAGAGUUUGAACCUGUCAAACACACAGAGUUUAAUUCAACCUUAGCCUCAGCUGUGCUUUCUGUGAAGUGCAAAUCAGACAACCUGUUCUCUCAGAAAUGUGUGAACUGGCCGUGACCUCUCAGCUCCACAUGACAGGAGGAGAAAUGUGUUCAAAUGCAUCAGAGGAACAACGAUAAAGCCUUUUUUAACACUCGGUAAAACUCUUAGAUUUAGAUGCUGGAUGAUGCAGGUGAAAUCUGAUUCAAUCCACAUUAUUUGUUCAGCACAUUUAAAAAACAUUUAUGUUUAAUCAGCUGUGUUGAACUUAUCUGAAGUAUGUAAUCAGACUUGAUUGCUCUUAAUGCUGCGUCCACGACCUUCUGUGAUAGUUAGCAUGGACUUUUGGGGUCACUGCUUGGCUGUUAAUACAAGUGUAUAAUCAUGUUGGGGGGUAUGACGGUAUAAAAGUACCAUUUAUACCAAGAGAGUGAACAGAUGUCCGCUGCGUCUCUCUGAGUCAGUGUGGAGUUGUCUGCGCUCACUAAAAGGAAAGCCGGAGCACGAACGUUUGGGUGCGUUUUUGUAUAUUCACCAGCGUGUCGUGAGGAGUUUGUUUACUCCGUUUGAUUGGUCAGGUUUGGGUGCGCUCCCUAUAAUCACCAGCGUGUCCAGCAGACUGCUUGGAAGAAGAAACAGCUUCACUGGUGGUGGUCAUGGCGGGCACAGAGAAAGUACCGAGCAAACGGAGGCAGCCCGACCCACCCGAGGAGGAACUUGUUCCGAAAAAGGGCGCGAGUCGCAACAUCGGUUGUCUGGAGAUUCUUCGGAUUUAGAAAAUCCGCCAAUGAUCAUAAAAUGAUACUAUACAUAGAGUUUCGUGUGGCUGUCGGAAACACCAACAACCUCCUCCACCACCUAAAGAUGAAACUCGCCAAACUCUAUUAUGAGAGCCGAAUGAUGCGUGCCGCACCUGCUGCACCAAAAACUAAAACUGCAGCAGCUCCUCUCAGAGUAAAGAGCUCGGCAGAGUCUUUCACCAAAGUUACGCCAUAUGAUGAAAAAACGCCAGACUGGUCUGACAGUUUGUUCGUAUUUGUUUACAAAUCUGAGUUUAAAAAUAAAAGGAAAAUGACCAAAACAGUUUGGUUAUUUUUAAGCCAUUAAUUGAAUUUACAGGGAAAAAACAUAGUGUGACAUAAACUGUUACUGUGAUAUGAAAUUACUCAGACCGUGAAAUAAGAUUUUGUUCAUACUGCCCAACACUCACUGCACUUCAUACCACAUCCCCGCCCUUCUGUGAUAGUUAGCAUGGACAUUUGGGUUCACCACUUUGCUGUUAAUACAUGUGUGUAUAUAUAUUUUUCAUUUUAUCUAUAGGUGCCACUUUCUUGACACUUGAGGUCACCUUACAUCAUUAAAACAAACAGUAAUGAAAUACGUUGUAUUUUAAGUGUUAAGGUUAAAUCUCUUGUAAGAUCUUGUGUUGUCGACAAAAGGCCUGAAAAAUAGUCAUUCAGAUGAAGAAUAUAACUUUCAGCUCUACUGUACAUUUCAAUUUUCUGAAUAAAUGUCCUGAAAGUGUGGGGAGUUUUCAUCUGAGACAACAGAAAAAACGGAGACGUACAUUAUAGAAAAGUCUCAUUUUAAAAGUUUGUUUUAUAAUAUAGGCUCCACUUUGACAGGUAAUCUCAUGGACAAACACGGUUUUAUUCUCUCGUGAGACCCGGUCUGAAAAACCGAUGUUUUAAUUUUCGAGGUAAUGAUUAUUUCAGACCAUCUGUCUCCGACGCUCCUGUAAUGGCUGUGCGACUGUUUGCUGCAGAAUAUUAGACAAAGAAUAUUGGAUUUAGACGUUAACCCCCUUUGUACCAGAUAGAAGCAGUCAGCUGUUCCUCCUGUGAGCAGCCGGCGGAUCAGAGCAGAAGUCCCUGAAUGUUUCAGUGAGUACCUGUAAAACAAAGCUUCCCUUUUUCAUCCCUGCAUUACAGUGGAGCCCAGGGAGCCGGAGUCAUACAGGCACAACGGAGACAUCUGUUUCUGUCAGGCAGAGUUAGGUUUGAUUCUCAUGGAGCGCAGAUGCCAUUAGAAGUAGAUGUCACAACACUCUUGGAUGAAUCUGUUUGGGCUGAAGCAAUCUGUUUCCUUCCAUCCAUCACUGACCGGUGGAAACAGGAAGCGUCGAACGCCUCACUUCACAUCAGCGGGCGUUUAGUUGGAGAUGUUGUCUUUGUGUUCUCUUUUGCUUGAAUUUCCCCUUUAAAUUAAUAAGUUUCAGUCAUUUAUGAGCGUGCAUUUAACACUCAAAUCAUCGAGCUUGGCUGCUGUUGCAUUAAAUAGUGUAAUAGAAGCUUUUUACCAGUUAAUGUAGCGAGAUCAGCUUUGCAUCCAAUUACAUUUUCUCGGCUCCGUCGUCGAGACAGUCAAUGCGGGCUUGAUCAUGAAGAGCUGAAGGAGGUUAAAUUGAUCUAAAAGUCAUGUAGAAUUAACCUGAAUAAUUUACAACAUAACACCAGAAAAGCUGUUUGAGAGAUCGUUGGUCCCUCUGUUAAAAAACAGAUAUGACUGUGUAGUGGUGGUCUCUCCAUGGGCUCAAAACUCCCACCAGAAACCGCUCUGUGUGAACGUAGUAUGACCUUCAUAUCACAACAGGACAAUGACAGUAACAUCUGAACUAUUUUAGAAUUAGGUUUUAAUCUGUUAAAUAAGUUUAAAUUAAUUCUGAGACUUUCUGCGGACCCUCUAACCUUCGAUCUCCUUUGUCUGUUACAAAAACAAAUAAUGGAUAAAAACUGAUAAUUGUGAUUUUUAAAGCAAAGCAAGAGAGACUAUGGCAAGAGAGAAAGAGAGAGAUAAGUAAGACAGUCUGGCUGCAGACCUCCUCUGAGAGGACCCGAGGCGUCAUUUUUCCUCACGCGCUCCAGUUUGUUUUAACCGUGAAGAUAGUUUAGAGAUAUGUAAAUGAGUCCAAGAGUGCAGGAGGCGACAUUUUCAAUGAUAAAUGGUGUAAAAGCAAAGAACAGUCAGCAGUUAGAGUGUAGAUACAUUAUGCUAUCACACAUAUUAAGGUGUUUUAACAGAGAUUUAUUGUUUUAAAUGGAUUUGUAGUGCAAACUAAACUAAACUAACAGCUGUCUGUUUUGCGGUUUAAUUCAAAAUACCAGUACAUAAAUUAAUGUUUUUGAGUGAUCAUACCAAUAGCUGAUCAUUAAGUUUGUAUUUUUUAUCUGUAGAAUAACCCUCAAAGUGGUCAUCCUGUUUAGUAUUUUGUCUCUGUUGAACACAUAAAUACACAAGAAAUAAUAUUAAUGUUAUCAACAUAAAAUAAAGCCCCAAGAAAUAAAAUGUAUUCACACGUGACAAAAAAUAUGUACUUCCCAGUCUAAUUGCUUUUAUUUUGAAAGGCUUUGAAUCAACUUCUAACAUUAAAAAACAACAACAACAACAUAAUUUCGGGGGUUCAAAUCAACUUCCAACAUAAGUAAAAAAAAAAAUCAUACCUCCAGUUUGCUUUUAUUUGAAUAGCUUUGAGUCAACUUUUGACGCACUUCCAGUAUAUUCGCUUUUAUUUUGAAAGGCUUUGACCCAACUUUCAGUCCGCUCAGUGGAGUUUUGCAGUUAGACCCCUCAGGAGAUAAGAGCCUAAAAUGACAGAAAAUGACAUGAAAUUAAAUUUCCGCUCCCAGAAGAACGGCGGUUAUGGUCCUACGGUCCGUUUGGAAGGUUUCCUGUGAUUAUAGCGUUGGUGCUUAAAAAUGAACUAAAUGGUUUAAUGACGUCUGCAGCAAAGCUCCUGUUCAGCUGAUUGAUUCUUUGUGUCAUUUUCAUGCAAUCAGGAAAGACUUUGGUUCCAAAAAAGUACCUUAUCUUAAAUGGAACAAACUAGUUACGGCGCCUUUUUUGGCCUCUAGGGGGCAUUAUCAGCAGUUAGAGGGACACAUUCUGAAUUCGUCUGUUUAUGUUGAUGGUUUGCCCGGUUGGUCCCCUUUAUGAUUCAUCCUCCUGAAAAUGAAAACAGCUGAUCAUGUUUUUCUCCGUCAUAAAGCAGAAGGACAAUGCUGUCUGGAAAGCCAUUGUUCUCCGGCGGCGCACUCAUACUUCACCCCGCGCAGACAGGUCGCUAAUGUGAGACUUUAUUGAACAUCGCGUUCCAGCGGGGACACUCUGAGGUUAAAAAAGAUUUGGAAAUGUAAUGAAUGUGGCUCCACUCCUUCUGUCAAAAUUGAAUCAGAGCCCGGCCACUUACUUUUACCUUAAUUUGAUGCUGAGUAGAGUGCACAGACGGCUACUUCACCUCCGACGACUCGACAGGAAGGAAAAAAAAAAAACAGCUGAGUGCACUCUCUUGAUUGUUUCUGAAGCUGUUUGGAUCAGCGUCCUCUCCGUGAUCCAUAAGCUCGGCUGCUUGAAGGGAAACAUCAGAGAAAUUACAAGAGCAACAGAUGUGUCGACACGGGAGGAAUCUUAAUGAGAGGGAGUAAAGAUGAUUUUAUAAGUUAGUGUUGGACAAAUCACCACAUUGUUUUACCCUCAACACGAGUGUCUCUGCCUCCAACAGGAACAUCGUCUUUUCAUGUCUAUCUAAUCAAGCACACAGAGGAGCCCCAGAGACUGUUAGUGGAAGUCAUUUCAAGUAGCACAUCUAUGAUGGACUGCAGGAAAGUAGAAAACUAUCAUGUAGACUUUUGAGUUAAAAUCUGACACUCCUCCUGGAAUUCACGGACGCUGCAGAGAGAACGAGUAAAUGAAAAACAAAUGAACUGUCAGAGCGCGGAUCAAAGUCCAGCAUCUGUGAUUCCAUGAGGGAGGAAAAGUGCCCAGAGUUUGCACCAAAAAUGCAACACUAGGGAAUCGAGAACCGGUUCUUGUUGAGAACCGGUUCCAAAUGGUUCAAUCCAUCGACAUCAUUUACAUUUUACUUUAAUGAUUCCUUCCUUCCUGGUGUCUUGAAAAACAGUCUCGCGAGUGCCAGUCUACGGGAACGGGAACAGACAGAGAAAAAAACGGUAUGGUGAGAAAAGUCAGCAGAAACGAGCUAGUAUGUGUCACAUGUAUUCGAUGCUCUCCGCCUGUCGUCAGCCACUGCUGCUCUGUCUCAGCACGGCAUGGAAGGAACGAAUGUUAGGGUGAUACGUCCUCUUUUACCCGCACAUGUCCUCUUUUGGGGGGUGGUCCAGGGGAGUUUAUCAAAUCCUUAAGUGUCCAGAACCUGUAUUCAUUCAUUAUAAAACAGUGCAGAGCAUCAGUGCUCUCUGCAGCUCCGCCCUCCGCUCACUUCUAAGCAAAGCUGAUGACGUGACGCACGCUUGCACUUUCUUUAAGAAUUCAGAGUAUGUGUUUAACUGAGUUACAAGGGCAUGAAAAACACUCAACCCGACCAAAAGAACCUGCAAAAUUUUGCACGCAAGUCCGCCCCGCGUAGUAGUGUCCUCUUUUUGGGGAUUCAGAAUAUAGUCACCCUAACAUGUGUCCUGUGUUAACAUAAACACAAUGCAUGUCAGAAACUUAAAGAAAGGCAUUGAUAAGGGAAUAGAUAAUGGCAUCGAUAUUGAGAAAAUCUUAUCAAUUCCCAUCCCUAUUGAACACCUGACUUAUCUUGUAGAGAAACGUUUGGUGCAUCAUGGAAACAAGAACGAAAAACAACAACUGCUGAGCAGCUGAAAUCUGAAUCAAGCGAGAAAAGGGACAACUUUGACUUUCAGACCUCCUCCGUUCCCAGAGUGUGGUUUAAAAAUGUCGCUCCUCAGAUCUGGGCCUUCAAACCUUAUUUUCGAGGAGAUCUUAGACUCUUUGACUCCCCUGUGGGCAGAUGUCCGACCUUGAGUAAAACAGGAACUUGUGAGGGAUGUAAAUGAGGGAGGCUGCGUCUUAAGUCAGCGUUGUGUGCCUCAGGUGUUUGUUGUCCUCUUUAAGGAUCACAGGGGAGACUUUGGAAAGGUGCAUAAUCCCUUCUUCAAGAGUGUAUCUGCCUCGGACCAGCGGUGCAAACAAACAACCAGCGAAGAGAGGCUGACGUGACUCCUGCUGCUCAUUCUGACCACCAAUCUUAAACGGUCUGGUCUCUGUCCAAACAUUUCCACCCCUGAACCUCUCAUCCCACUCUUUGACACCUUUCCUCCCUUCCCUCUUUUUUCUCUUUGGAGUCCCGGGUCGCCCGUGUAAUAAACAGGAAGUCUGCCGGUGUGUGAUCUCGACACGAGACCCCUGUGAGAGUGUUGAAUCGGAGUGUUGUGGUUAUUCAUCUUCUCUGCAGAGGUCCAGCUGCUCUCACAUGGAUUAAAGGGCAGAGGGGAGACCUCCGGGGAUCCAGCCUGGUUAUUACCUCUGUGUUUGACUGUGCCGAGGUCGGUGACCGCCACACAGCAGCAGGUGGACACAAUCUGCCUGCUUUCUGUUUGCUUUUAAUACCAAUUGGAUUGGGCUUUUGCUUAUUUUUGUUGUGAUUGUUUGAUGUGAUGCAGAAUAUUGUGUGACUCUGCAGCUUGUGGCGGACACAAUCAGUCAUCUGCAACAGGAGGUCAUCCUGGUCAUGUUAGCUUUAUGAAACAGUCACUUAAAGCAGAGAUGUGUAGAAGAGGUGGAUGUACGCUAUGUUUAAGACCCUCUACAUAAGUUUUAUUUUAGUUGCAAAUAUGGCUGCAGGAUUUUGGCCAAAAAUAAAAUCCAGAUUUUCGAUUUUUUUUUUUCAGUGACAGCUUCACCAAACUUCAUUCUAAAGGGAUAUUAUGGUGUAAAACUAAUUUAGGGUCAAACACAUCGCAACACAGAGUUAGACACCCCCUCCAGAGAUGAAUGUUGCCGACCGCUUGCUUCUCUAGUUAUACCAACUUUAGUAACGACCACAGGAUAGAAAUACAGAGAGACACGCCCUCAACCAAAACGCCACUCUAUAGCCACAAAUAAUGCUCAGAACAGCACCUAACUUCAUCAACAGGACAUAUAGGGUCACAGACAUAGUACUAGACACCAAACAUCUUUUUAACUUUGACUCAUUUCUUUAGCAAAGAGACUAAACACAACUCACCUACUCUCUUCCAGCAGCCGCUUGUUUGUAGCGAGACCUUGACCAGUCCAUUAUGGACUACAGCGGGGUGACACAGCUCAAGGAAGAACAUUUAUGAUCAUUUCUUCAUGGAAAUACAAUCAGACCGAGACGCUAAGGCAGAAGAACUACCAUGUCUGCAGAGAAAAAUGAUUAAUAUGGUGAUGUUUACUUCAAGGAAAUGAUAAAGAAACAAUCAUAAAUGUUCUUCCUUGAGCUGCGUCACCCCGCUGUAGUCCAUAACGGACUGGUCAAGGUCUCGCUACAAACAAGCGGCUGCUGGAAGAGAGUAGGUGAGUUGUGUUUAGUCUCUUUAAGAAAUCAAGCAAAGUUAAAAAGAUGUUUGGUGCUGUCAUCUCUCAAAAGAAACCACUGCAGCCCUAGUUUCAAAGUAAGAACACCUCUAAUGACUUUGUAUCGCAGCUUAGCAUGUUUGAUGAGCAGGUGAGAGGUCUGCUCAUAUCUUGGUCAUACAGAUAAUAAAGAACAGUAGACUCUGCAGAGAGGCACAAACAUGAGCAAGAGAGUUUAUUUAAUCAUAAACAUAAACCUUUAUAUGACAAAUAAGGAAAACUAUCUUGACAUCAGUAACAGACUGCUACACUGGGUUAAUCAAUAAAAUGUGGGUUUUAAGUGAAAACUGAGUUUUAUAGCAUCUGUCUGUUUGGGUUUAGUUGCACCAAAGUCUACGUAUUUUCGUUAAACCCACAGUUCUCAUCUGUGUGGUUUUAAGCGCUCUCUCAGGUCUUUAAAUAUUGAAGCCUGCGUCAGUUUCAAGUUACCCUUAAGGGUUUUUUAAAUACAGAGAGAGACAAAGUGAGACAGAGGAGAACAAUUAUCCUGCAAUUAUUGAGAAAAAUGAGAUCUGAUUGAUGAAAUUAAUUACUUAAAGUCAACUACGGCUCAGUUUACAGUAGGUUUUUCUAUAUCAGGGGUUUCUUUCAGAUGUUUUGGGUUGUUGCAUCUGUAAAGAAACAGUCUUCUUUAUAUCAAAACUAUUCCAGAGCAGUUUUUACAAAAGAAAGUACCCAAAUGUAGACUCAAAAACUAAAGAUUUUAUAGACAAGAGUUUCAAAGUAAAAAAAACAACAAAAAAAUAAAAGCAAAAACACAAGUCUAAGAACAACUGCAAAACCAAAAAAUACUGGGAGUCCACAAGACGUUGACAAAACAUAGACCGCAAACCAACGAAGAAGAAGGAUAAAACAGGGACUAGAUACAUCCAACAGGUGAGACUCCCGAGUAUUUAACAAAGGAGGGAAACUAAGGAUUGACUCCUACAAAAUAAAACACUGAAAACUGAACAGGGACGAAACAUGAACAACAGGAGCAUAAUAAUAAUGAACACAAGGAAACAGAAGCAUGAGUGAAAAUAAAACUAACUCACAAACAGAGGAAGAAACUAAACUAAUAAGAACCUAUCAUGACAGGAACAGGUGCCUUCUGCUGAGUUUAUAGUUGACUUUUAUUCUGGCGGCUGAUUUGGCGUUAAAAUUCCAGCGAUAAAGAAAAACAUUUGGACAUAAACUCUCGACAGGUGUAGCUGAAUGUCUCAUACCUUCAUUUACCAGCAAUAAAACAGGAAAACACGGACGAUAAAACCCAACACAUUAAAUUUAAGCAGAUUUUUAGACGACUUCAUUAUUUAUUCAGUUAUGCAGAGUGAGACAGCCUGUCAGUGUUCACCUGCUGUCACACCAGACAGGUACAGAAAUACAUUAUAUAAUGUGAUAAUUUAUUUGUGUUUCCAGACAUGAAAUAUUCUAUAACUGCUUCACCGUGAAGAAAAAUGAUGUUUGUUAUUAUAAUUUCGACGUUAUUUCGAUCUAUUAUCCAGUUUAAGCACCAAACUCCUUCCUGCGUGUGAAAUAAUCACAAUUUUCCACGUGUAUUUAAGCAAAAACAGUCUGAUAUUCAGCUCUGUAUUUUUAUUAUUCACUCUGCGUUUUCAGUUUUUUAGUAUUUUAUACUUUCCAUGAAUCCUGAAACCCUGCUGCCACCUAAAGCAGAACAUUUCAGCUCUUCUCUAAAAGCCGACUCCACGGCGGUCUAAAGCUGUCUCUGGUAGUGCGAUCGCCACAUUCGGGUUGACAUUUGAGUGUAAGGUAAAAGCAGUGUUUGUCAUGCAGAUGUCAGGGGACAAAGAGAAAAAUACUCAGGUGGGCAGUUUCUCCUCCAACACAAACAGACAGACACAGUUUACAACAAGAGAGGCUUGUUCCUCCAUUAUAAAGCCUGAUUUCUCUCUGGAGUUGGUGGACACUGAACAGGGCUAAAACCAGCUUAAAUACUGAAUUACAUCUGCCAGGAGGGAUGAGAAAUGACUGAUUCAUGCUGUGUUUUUGUUUGCUGAAGGUGUGAGUAAUAAGGAACUGUCUUUAACACACUAAUACACAAACAUUACGAGGCUGUAAUACUUUAUAAAAGUGUGUGUGUGUGUGUGUUUUUGAGCAGAGCUUACAUGUUACCGAGGGACAUCUGCUAAUUUAUGAUAAUCAAGAACAAUAAGUUUAAUCCUGUUUGAAUGUGGAAAAAAGAAAAUGAUCUCUAAUACUUGAGUGUUGACAGACGUCCUCCUGACAAUACUAAUCCUGCUCAAAUCAAAGCUUUUCACUCGCUGCUCCUUUCUUUCCCUCGUCAACCCAGAACCAUGUUUGCAAUCUUAUUUCCUGCAGUGAGAAACGGACACUUUAGUGCAGCAACAAAGGCAUCGAAACGGGUCUUAAAAGUGUGAUAAACUUCAUAGAGCUAAAGAAGCUAAAGAUUAAGAAGACAUUCAUAACAAUUCAUAUCAGUGCCAAAGCAGCAUUUCAUGUAAAAGACGAGGUAUGAUAUGAAAUAUCCUCAAACUUAUAUGACUUAAUAUAGUUGCUAACUCAUUUUAUUGAUUAAUAAGUACAUCCUCAGUUGUUGGUUAUACAUUAUAAGAUAUUCUGGAAAAAGUGAAUGAGGUGAGUUAUCCUGCUCAGUAUGAUGUUUUUUGUGUGUGAUCAGAUCUGGAGAGCCCAGUGAUGGCAAGCCGGGCUCAGGUCGCGGUAUGGACCGGCUGUUGAACCUGCCAUCGGACCUAUGAACACAUUAGUGUUGAAGAUUUUACACUUUAAAGACUAGUACUGAGGAGUUUUUUAUUUAAUUUUAUUUUGAAAGAGCUUCUUUUUCUGUAUUUUUCAAUUCAGUUUACUUUCUUUUGAUACACAACGAUUGCACUUUGGUUAAUAUUGUUAAUUUGCUAAGAAAGUCAACUAAAAAUAUAACUUUUCUCGGGUUAUCUGAGGGCAGUAGGUUGUCAGAUCCAGAUAGAUCUAAACGUGCCUGUUUGCUUUAGAAAGACUUGACAUUAUGUGUAAGCUGAACAGGGUUAGGAAUCAUGAACUGGUUCUUGUUGAGAACUGUUUCCAAAUGGUUCGAUCCAUCGACAUCGUUUAUAUUUUAAUUUUACAAUUCCCUUAACGAUUCCUUUCUUCCGGGCGCCUUGAAAAACAGUCUUGUGAGAGCCAGUCUACGCGAACAAAAACAGAGACUUUGGGGGAAAAAAACAUGGCGAAUGGUACGAAAAUAAGGGAAGAAAUGAAAAGUGUGGCUUCAUUUUACUAAGAAAGACGACAACGGGUUUCGUAUGGAAGUUGAGUUUGUGCACUGUGGACUAACUGAGUUAAAAGCGCAUAAAGAAACAUUCGACCCAAAAAAAACCCUCAAAAUUUUGCGCACUACUCCGCCCCGCGAGGUAGUGUCCUCUUUUUGGGGAUCUAGAAUAAAGUCACCCUAAUUUGACGUAAUACCAACCAAAGUAGACUCUCACUGAAGGUGGCAAACAUCUCCUUCUGUUAUCAGAGACUCGAUCAAAUUUUGAGUUAAUGGUGAAAACCCACUGUCUACUUUUUUACAUCAAAUAAAGGCAUUGAUAAGGAGAUCGUUUAAUAAUGGCAUCGAUAUCAAUAAAAUCUUACCAAUUCCCAUCCCUAAACUGAAAUACGUUAAGUACGAAGAAAUCUUGUGCAGGACCAGAUUUAAAGAGCACAAGCGUCUGUCUUCAGAGCGGGACAGACAAAGAGGUUUGAGACAAACAAACAGACACACGGACAGACGAUGUAAAAUGUAAAAAGGCCGCCAGUGCUCGCAGGAAAUAUUCCCUCUUUGGUGUUAAUGUGCUUCUCAAAUUUGCAGAGGCUGAGGGUCACUCAUGAAUCACAGCGCCACAGUAACACUAACAGCUUUCCUCUAAUGCAAACAGGACUGAGACUGUGUUAAUGCGUAUCUGCCAGUGUUUAAAAAAACACGAUUAUCUCACCCUGUCCCAGACCAGCACACAGCAGCAUCAGGAGGACGACGACUCAGUGACGGCUGCUAAAACCAAACACCUCCAUUUGUCUGUCAGUUUCACUUCUGCCUCGCUCGCUCCGCUCUCAUCUCCAUUUAGGGUCCUCAAAGCUGGUCGCAUUUCAACAUGGCAGCCCUGGCAAUCAUCCCCUAAUUGUGCCCUCAGUUCAGGCAGGGGACACUCUCGCAGCUGUGACAACUGCGUCCUCCAAUUAAUUCCUCAGCAGCAAAUUAUUAAUUAAACCCGAUUCUUCACAUUGCUGUGAAAGCAAAUAAAUGGCGAAUCAUUAUGAUGGUAAUUGCACGUUGCAGUAAUGGUGAGACUGGUCAUUAGGGCUCAUCUUUUAUGUAUGCAUGAAACUGUUCCCAAGACCUUGGAGCAAUGUUAACCACAGUCUGAGACAGAGAGGGGUCUAGUAGCUGAGUUUGAGUUUAAUUUGACACACAAGGCCUCUGUGUGCAGGAGUUUGUGUUCCUGUUUGAGGGGAUCUGGACCUUGUCCCGGUGAAGACUGUCAGGUUAUGUGUGGGUGAUAAUAUUUGAGUGUAUAUCAGGAGUGGAUUCAGGAGUCUUUAGUUAGUUGGUCUGAACCAAGACAGACUGCUUAAGUGAGAACAAACCCUGUUGACAUGGUUGAGAUUUAGACCUUCAGCAGACUAACAGGGCUGGAAGUGACUCUUUGUCUCCAUACAUGGGGUAUAUAUGCAUGGACCACCAGACCAGCGGCUGAAGUAGACAAAGUUACUGUGGGAGGGGGUGAGCAGCUUGUGGAGUAGUUAUCAUCCAUUUAUCGUUAUCGAGGUGAACUAAUCAAUAUGUCGUGAUAUUGAUUUGAGGCCAUAUCGUCCAGCCCCACAUGCAAACAUCUGUUAGGCUUUACAGUGACAUUGGUCCAUAUGAUAUUAAAAUAUAAUCAUUGAAGAGCUCAGAUCUCUUUGUUUUUUAAAACACGAUGGUUGUAAAAGUCGACCAUUUACCCUGUAACUCCUCGGCAUCAGCGUGGCUUUAUAAGAGAGCAGCAAAUAUCACCAAUUUGAGUCCUUUAAUAGUCCAUCUUUGUAAUUAGCUUUCUUAAUUUGAGGACAUCACUUACCAGAGCUGGUCGAUAGAUUAUGUAGAGAGGAGAGCAGGGAGAGGAGCAGGUAUGUGCUUUAGCGUCUGAAAAGCCAAGGGACAGUGUGAUCAGUACGACAGAGAGGCUCAUGAGCAAAACAGCAUAAACAUGCAAACAUCUGCUAGGCUGAACAGUGACAUUGGUCCAUAUGAUAUUAAAAUAUAACAGUAGAAGAGCUCAGAUCUCUUUGUUUUUGGUCACACAAUAGUUGUGAAAGUCGAUGGUUUACCCUGUGACUCCUUGGCGAAAGCGUGGCUUUAUAAACUUCACUGAAAAUUGAAUCUGUAGCACCAGAUUUAACAACGCCUGUGUGAAAUAUCCUCGAUGACUUAUGGGUAUAAAUGGCAGAUAUGGCGAAUUCCCGUUAUGGGGACACUUUAGGACUCGAUUAAAGAAUAACGGCCUUGUUAGGAUGGAGAUGUUAUUCAGUGCCUGGAAGGAGAGGGACCCAACUGUCUCCCAUCACAGUCUGGCUCUUAACUGUCAGUGUGCGCUGACAGGCAUAUGUUCUGGUCACUUUAUGUUGAAAGCACUGUCAAGGGAUCCAUCUGUAUGUAUGUGUGUGUCAAAGUGUGUGUGUGUGUGUGGUUUGCCAUAUGUGCGUGUUCCAUCUAUGUGUUUGACAAGUGCUCCAAGGCCAGUGUUGACACUUGGAUUAGAGGCACGAAGGAGGAGGAGGAGGAGGGAAAGAGAGGAGUUGGACAUGAAGACUGCGUGACCUUCCAAGGAUGAGGGUGGAAAGAGACGAUAAGGUGGAGGGGAGGGACUGGAAUCGGAGACUGCGGGCGGCUGGCGUCGGCCUCCUCUGCGUGGUCAAGGGCUCGAGGGCCUAAGAGGGGCGCAAGAAAACUGGCUCUGGAGAUUCUGGCCCUGAGCUUCCUGGCUCCUGCCUGCUUUGUUGGUUUUUAUCUAUUUUUAGUGGACUGCUGCAAGAAUCGCCCUCCCCUCAUUUGCAACAGACCCCAGCACUUGUAUUGAUUUUUUCCUCCCGUGCUUGACUCACCCCUCCAGACUCUGAAGCACGUCCUGGGGAAAUUUAAAGGCUAUUCUGCGCUGUCGUACACACGCGCAGCCAUGUUUCAGAUAUCAGAUGUUAAUAUUGCAGAUGGAUUUCACCGAGGAGACUCUCAAUCUGAUUUGGCUUUGUUGUUCACCUCUGCCCGCCUGCUCUCCCCGUGGCAGCUGUCCUCGGAGGAAACAGGAUACAAAAGCCCGGGGUAAAGCUCCACGUAACCAUUCAUUUCCUGCUGACAGACGACAAAGAGUGAUGCAUAGCCUGUAGCUUUACUUGAUUUAUCAAAACUACACAAAGAGCACAACAGACACUGAAAGUAGAUGGGCAGAAAGUCAUUUGAAAUCUGCUGAAUGGGUCGCUUUGAGUGCGAUUUGCAUAAUUGGUUGUUUGCUUCGGAAUGAUGAAUAAACCGAAACACAUACGUGAAAAGCGGCUGAGUUUAAUGGAAAAAGCGGUGUCCGCUGCUGCUCAAGCAUGCCGCAUGAUAUGCAUGCAUCUGUUUCUCUGCUAAUGAGAUUGAGUUUGUCAAUUUGAAGUACGACGCAAACAGCAAAAGUGAGGAGAAAACCAGAUUGUGUUCGGCGCCGCAAAAAGAAAAGAUCAUAACACAGCCGAGCAGAGUGACUAAAUCAUCUCUCACAACUGAAUAAAUAAUACAUGCUGUUAAUCCACUUUCUGCUUUUUAAUAAUACAAACUACAGGAAGUGCUGACAACAUUCAAGUCAGCGUUUGCCGUCUUGCCGCCCCGUUAGCUCUGUUUAUUAGACGCCGGCUCAUUAAUUCAGGAAUUGUUCUCAAUCUACAAGUCAGAACUGCUUCACCAUCGAGCUUCUUCGACUCCCCGUCAGGAGGAGGAAACACGGGGAGACAUUUCCCACUUUUUGGAGACAAAUGCGUCCCCCUCGAAUAUCCCUACACCCCCAAUGGAGAAACAGAAUACCUUAAAUGAAAACGCGCUUCAGAGCGAGCGAGACUGACGCUGAAAGUUUAUCUAAUGUUACAGACGAGGUGUUAACUCAUUCAGUUCCAGGUUCGUUUAUGCAAUUCUCACCCAGUGCCACCAUUGAUCGCAACAGAAGUUUCCACAUCUUUCAGGACCCAAAGAAUAUCUUGUGCUUGGACUAAAAUUAAGUACAGUAUCUCAAAAGAAGGAGGUGAUUCUCUUCUUUCAGCAGAAACAAAAGUGAGUCUCUAACCCACUCCUGUGUUUAGUUAUUGCCUGCACAACGCAGCGUGGUCAUAUCAUCUUUACCGAUCUGGAAAAACACAUUUUUACGAAAGAGAGACUUUCAAGCCGAAUUCUGAUCGACUAUUUUAUUUCACUUGACGCUGCGACAUAAACCACACAGACUGCUUGCAUCCUUCUUGCCAGGACUGUCACUGAAUUCAGGCUCACCGACAAUUUCCACCGCAUCCGGAAUAAUUACAUAAAGGCCAUAUCCGCUGAUUGUAGCUAAUCGUAACCAUUCAAGUUAAAGUGUCAAUUUCCACCGGCUUCAAAUUCGUCUCACAAACGGAUCUGGUAGGAAUUGGAGUACGCCGAAAAUCGCUUCUGUUCCGGAUAGGAGCCAUUCUGUAUGCGGUGGAAAUCCUGGGUCAGUCUCACUCACCAGUACUGGCACUAGCGGCACAAUGACACGCUGGAAAAUUGCUUCUUUGAUUGUCUGCUGGCGAUGUGAGGGUCCGGUACCGGGAUCUCCACUAGAUCCAGAGACAGUAGCACCGCGCCCACUGGAGCAGAUGCACUGAGCCCGUUAGCUCUUGGCUAAUAACUUCCGCAUUCUCCUUCUCUCCUCAUCGAGAAAAAUCACUCCACAACUUGGCCAAUUGGCACACUUCUCACUGGCGACUACUUGUUUUUGUUAUUGUAACAUGGUUAUUACGUAUUUGUCGGCUUUUCUGCGUUCAGAAUGACCCCAAACUUCGUCGCAUGUUGGGGAGGAGCGCCAUCUAGUGGAAAACAAAAAAAAUUGAAAAAUCUGUCAAAAUCAGUCAGUGGCACUGAAGGAGUUAAGACUUGAGGAAGACAAAAGCUGCAGAAAAGGCCCGACAGGAACAAAGAGGAAAUGAGAAACUGUCAAAUCUGCAAGUGGGAGUAUGGUGAAGUCUUUUUCUGUUACCUUAUUGACCCAAAUAUUACACAACCUGAUUAUAAGAGGAUCCACUCCCAUUGUAAGAGGCACAGCCUGUUCAGGUUCACUUCAUAAAUCACACAUGAGUUCAUACAGGUUAAAAAGAACUAGUUCACCUUCAUUGUUUUUUCAGUAGCUCCUUAAUUCUUCGUCCGCAGAGCCUCCAGAGCUUGAAUUUCUAAUCCUUUAGUCGCUGACAUUUCCUAAACUAAAAGGAUUAUCAAAUUCUGCAGUUGAACCGGAGACAGAUGUUUAAUUUAGGAGCCGAGGAAAUCUAAUUUCAGCAUAUUUUAUGGAUUAAACACGAAAAAAUCUGCAGCUUUGAAAACUUAAAAAUGCUCAUACAACUAUAAUCUGUCUCAAGGUUCCGACGUUAACCCAGAAACAUGAAGAAAAUCUACUUCAUUACUGAAAAUGUGGGAGAGCUUGUAAAGAGACAAAACAAACAAACAAACAAACAAACAAACCACACAGCUGGACUUUUGCUUUUAAAACCACUUCAAAUUAUCGUUUAAACUUUAAGAAGCGAGGCCUGAUCAGUGCACGGUAAUGUUCGGAGUUUGGAGUUCAUGCAUCGCAACAGUGAUGCGUAGGAACUGGAAUAUUUUGCAGAACCUGGAAGUCAGAAUCAUGGUCACAACGCUCCCCUGCUCACCCUUCCAGUAGUUGAAACUCCACAUUAACGGUGGCCUUGAGGAGGAAACUGCUUUGAUGCAUGAUCAGCAUAAUCCUCCAUUUUUCAGUUUGAAAAGGUCUUGGACUUUUCAUGGUAACAGCAGCAGGAAAACUGUAUUUUGAAGUGUUGGAAACAGACUGCAGAUUCCAGAGGUGUAUGCAGUUAUCAUGUCUGUUUGUCUCCAAACUGUCUCUAUAAGAGGGCGUUCACACCAAGCGUAAGUAAAAUUGACUAUUUGCUUAAUUCGCACGUAUCUAGAUACGUUAAUGAAAAGUAUUUACUCGCUUCACUCGCGCGAAUGAUUUGUGCGUCAACAGAGUGGAGUGGAAGUCGUGGAUAGUGAUUCCUGCCAAUUCAGCUGGCGAGAUCAAGUGAUAGACAAACUUACCAGAUAGUCUGAACCACGUUCAGUGGAUUGCUGCUUUGUUUUUGUCGUGGUUACAACUGUCAGAGAUGUUGGCGCCGCCGUGUCUGGGUCUUCUCCAAUGGCCCAGAUGACGGCCGUUUCCAGCGGUAUUUUCAGGUUACCUGAACCCAAUCUGAUGACCUGUUUGUGAAGAUCGGCGCCGGGAUAUCCUUCCAGAGUACUGAUUACAGGCGCUCUAUCCCAGCUGCAGAGCGCCUGUCCAUCUGUCUACUGUGAGUAAAAGAGUUUGUGUUUAUAUUUUCACACCAGUGAACGUCUUCCGGUCCGUUUUCAUACGUCACCUGGGAAUCUUCAUGUUGAUUGGUUAUUGCGACACAAAUAUUCUUUUAAGUUAAGAUAUUUUCAACUGUUGUGAAUUCGCGUCCACUCAAUUCGCACGAAUAGCUCGCUCAAUUCGCGCCCACCAAUUCACGUCAUUCGCGCCGUCAGAGUAGUAUGAGCGUCUAACCGUGCUUGGUGUGAACGCCCCAUAAGUAGAUAGAUAGAUAGAUAGAUAGAUAGAUAGACAGACGUACAGUUAAAGGAGAAACUUUGCAUCAUUUGCAAAGAAAAAGCGUAUAAAUAUUGGUAUUGAUGUCAGUAUGAGUCUGAGAAUAUUGGUGUGUAAGAGAUCGUGAAAAUCCAAUAUUUUGCACCCCUACAUUACAGGAUUAUAUCGUGAUUUGAUUCAGCAUCUCAGGUCUCUUUCCUGAGAACCUUGUUUUACACGUCUGAAAUUCAUCUCCAGCUCAUGAAUAAAACAUUUUAAUAACAAACCCACCUGAUCUUUAAAAAUCACACCUCUCCUGCAAUUCACCCACUUACAAUCUUAAUACCUCCAAGGUUGCAAUCUCCCACUUUCCAGUAAAAGACAAAUUUUGGGGUGUCACCCGAAGAGCUGUUUUUUAUAUUUUGAACAAUGAUUAACGGGCCCACGCUCCUCUGUUUUCUCCGGUGGCAGCAGGCUGUCUCUUCCCCGUAUCAAACCUCUUUUAUAAUCAACUAGAGUGAGGUCGGCCCAAUCAGACUCAUCAGCUGGAUUGAUUUUUCCACUGGGCUCAGGAUAAUUAGCCAAUUUCAACAAGAAACUGAAUUAGGUGAUUGAUUAGUUCAAUACGGGUUUGCCCAAACUCUGGCUUCGAGCACUGCCACUUGACUUUGACUUUGAAGCAGGAAGGUGAAAUUUAAAGCACGCUCAGACUCCGCCGCGGCGCUGAUUUUUAAUCUCAGGAGACGACGAUGAAGACAUCAACUUCAGCCUGUGAGAAAAUCUCUCUAUGAACAAAAAGUCCCAUCUGAUGAAGAAUCAAAUCUCUCUUUCUCUUUCUCACCCAUUUCCUACAAAACCCACGAAGCACAAAGGAUAAUCACUCCCAGAUGUGAGAGGGCAGAGGCGCACACAUCCAUCAAGCUCAUCGUCGCUCAGCUUCUCAUCCCCGCAAAGAAACUAAACGCCUCAAAACCACAUCAAGAGACAAUGGUUCCGGUUUUCCAGUGUCCCUCUGUGGUUCGGUCAAUGCUACGUUUCCCAUCCUUUAGCCUCCAUACAAAGUGUCCUUGUCCCCCAGCAGGGAUGAUUGACACAUCCAGCCCGGCCUCCUCCCUCGCUCUCUGGUCGCUCGCCCACAUGUGCUUUGUCUGGUCUGCCCCGCCUCAUUGGAGCAGUCAGCUCCAUUCAGGCAGGUUCACGGGGGGCGUUUAGUCAUGCACUGUCAGCUCUGCUGUAGUCCUCAGCCUCUCCCUGUGAGGUGUGUCAGGGGAGAGAUUCACACACACACACUCACACACACACUCACACACUCGGCCGACCCGAUGCAGCUCUGACAUGCAUGAAACACACCAGUCACACUCAAACUCACACGUGAGGGCACACCACUGAGGAGGUCUGUCAGUCAGAGCGACGCAGGCGUGUCCGUUUGACAUGAUUGUUCUAUUUUUGAGAAACGCAUGUUGUCGAGGGAGGAGAGCAAGACGUGAGACACAAGACUGGUUAAAAGUCACUCCAGGCAGCAUGUGACCGUGUUUGUGUGCAGAGCAGGGAAGUAUCAAGUCCAGCAGCUAUUUCAAUACUGUUUCAUACAUGAGUCAUAUCAUCUCAACUGCAACUGACAAUACAAGAUCGUCGGCGUAGAACGACAUCCUCAUCGUCAACAACAUGUCAUAUUCAUGAAGCUUCAAAGAGCAGAGUCAGAAGGUUUCUCAGAAGUAGAAGAGGACUGUGUGGAUUAUAUAAAGUCGGGUAACUCAUUAACGUUGUGCUCACAACAACGGACACAAAUGAGAUUAUCAACUGGCGUUAUUCACGCCAAUUUUAACGCGAGGAUUUGUCGUGUUUAACUGCCAGAUAAUCCGACUGAUGAUCCACUGUUGACUGGAGAACCUUUAUGCUGAUUGGCUAUCACAAUGCAAGCGAUUUUCUCGAGUCCAAAUUUUUCAACUCUGGGGGUUAAACGAUUGAAGUGAGUAGGGCGUUGAGUAGAAGGGUCUAGCUUUUGAUGUUUUGGUCCUUGUUCUGAUACGAGUACUAGGCACCUUCUCGGUCUUGGACGAAGGAUCUCAGAUUGGCAGAUUUUUUUGAUCUUGGCUGAUUCUUGAUUGAGGUCAAUAUUCGGGAUUUAGAAAAUAAUCUGCAUCAGUGUUCAACUCUAUAAAUGGCCAAUAAAAUUAAUGGCUGUUUCCAUCAGAGGCUGCUCUAACUGUCUCCAGACACCAAUCAUGAGUAAAAUCAUUCGCGUGGAUGAAUUUCAUGUAAAGUCAAUGCAAAGACACCAUUAGACCCUCCUACUACUCUGGCAGUGCGAAUGACGCAAACUGUUCGGAAGCUGAGAAUGUCUCAACUUGAGCGCAUAUUCACGUCCUGAUAACUAAUCAGCACGAUGGUUGCCGGGUGACGUAUGAAAACAGACGGUUGUUCACUGAUAUCUAAAAUGGAAGACAAAGUGAUCGUGUCAGUGUGUUGGUGCCCCGAAUUAUAUGAUUACCUUUUUUUUAAAUUACCAAACCGGAAAAAAAAGGAUCUCGUCUGGAGGAAAUUGAGCGAGGAGGACUGAUUACCUGGUAAAUUGUAAAAAACAUUUGACUAUCACUUAAAUUGGCAGGAAUCACCGUUGAAAUUACCGUUGACGCGUGAAUGAAGUGAGUAAAUACUUUUCUUUCACGAGUCUAGAUUCGGCAAAUUUAGCGAGUAGAUGAUUUUACUCGUGCUUGAUGUGAGCGCCUCAUUACUCUUCCCUUUGCCUCAUUCGAUGUCCCGCCCACAUCACGAUCUGAUUGGCUGGAUUUAGUUUGUAAUAUCUCAGAUUCUAAUUUUGAAAGUUUCUUAAUUUGAAGGUUCCAAACGUCAGUUAUCUGGUUUCCGGUUUGGGUUCACCUCGGCUUGUAAUCCGCUCCUGUUUUUAAUGAGGUGUUUUAAUUGGAGCUAACCCUUUUGUCGGCGCCUCCCUUCACAAUAGGAAACCGCCUUUAUCGCACAGACUGAGCCCAGACUGAGCAGUGACUCAGACUUAACCUUGUCUUACUCCUCAUUUUCUAUUCACACAGCAUACAAUAUUUGCAUAUGAAAUGUAAUCACAGGCUUGAAGUUUUAUUAAAGUAAGUGAUGUAGAGGAUGACAAAGACGGUAAUCCCCGCUCAGCUCCGCGCUCCCUGUCUCAUAAUGAUAAUGGCAGGAAGAAUUAGUUUCAGCCUGUCUUACACACACACACACUCGACACACACAUCUCACUAAACAUAAACUGUGACUAAAAUUAAAGAGAAAAUCCUCAGUAUGAAACCCCAUUUGGGAGCUCAGCUCAUACACAUAUUUUUACACAUGUACACUUAAGCGCACACACUGAUUCUGCGGAGUGUAUGGCAGUGUGUGACAGAGCGCUGGUGAGGAGCAAUUUCCCCUCCUUGUCAUUAUUAGAUUAGUGCUUGUAUUAUUUGGGAGAAUAAAUUGGCAGCGAUUGAAAUGAACGCCAUCAGCAGAGCUCUAAUACAUAUCUCCUCUGUCUCUUCAGAGUUGUGUUCAUCCCUGAUUAUGAAACACAGACGGAGGAUGCUAGAGGAAGAGCGCCACCAUCACUAUAACCACCACCAGCA